CUUAUUUCUCCUUCCCAUCUCUCUCCUUUCCCUCUCUCUUCUUCCUUCCCCCUCUCUCUCUCCACAAAUCCCAGCUUCGUUUUCUUCCUUGAAAAAUAAAAAGAGUAACAGAGAAGGGGAGGAACAUUCUAUUCGCCAUCAUAGACUACGGCUUCGUCGCACAUGAAAAGAAUGUCAUCGACGGUUAGAAUGUCGCCGGCUUCUAAAUCCAGCCAUAAAAAGUCAUGUGGGGUUUGGGAAAGAGAGGAGGACAUACCUUAGAUCUGGUGAAGGUGGCUCGUCGGAAAAGCUCACGGAACGCCCUUUAAUCUCACGUUUUCACCGACGAUUGGUUGGAGGAUUUGAGAGAGAUGACCGGAGGCUUUAUAGCCUCGAGUGAAGUUCGAUUGGGAUUGAAAUCCCUCUCUUGAUUGAACAUAGGGCCUCUCCUGAUCGAACACGGAGGAGGAGACGAACUCCAUCAGAAGUUCGCCUCUUCCGUACGUGAUUUUUUUUUCCUCAUAUGUUAGAACAGGUGGUUUCUUCUCUUUUUCCUAAUACCCCACGCGUCACAUGGAGGUUUUUUCGUUGAAAGGCUUUCGUUUUAUAUUUUAUAUAUUAAAUAAGAAAAAGUAGGGAAGAGAAUUUUCGUUGCUGCUUUCCAAUAUCAAGCUCCUUCUGUCUCUCUCUUCUUUCCCUCUUUACUUCUUUCUGGAUGGAUGAACGAAGAGAGAGGAGGAAGUGGGAAUUUGGAGGAGCUCCGAAAACCCUACCCUUGAGCUUCCAUUUGACCUCUUCCGUCUUGCAGUUGGAGGUGAGAGCAACAAAUUUAGCCGUUGUUUUCUCAAAAAUCGCUACUUCUCUGUUUGUUUGGCUCCAAAUCUUGAAGUGCUCUAGAUUUUUUUGGGAUGAUUUCCUUUUCGGAGGGGUUUUUCUUGCUCUUUAGGGGUGGAUUGGAAGUAUCAGAAUUGUGUUCCAACUCAAGACCAGGAUUUCGGGAAUAUCAGAUUUCUUGAUUUAUUGAUUUCUUAAUUUGAUUUGCUGAAUGAAAUUAAAUUACGGAUGCUUGCUAAAAUAAAAUAAGCUGGAACAUAAAGGUGAUUUUGAUUAAGAUACCUGUUCAUCCCUUACUUGAACAUGGCAAAAUAUUAGCAUCUGCAUGGCUUUUUGUUUGCGUGGUCAUCAUUGAUAGUUUUUUUAUUUUCCGUCCAGUCUUUUUUUUGUAUCCCUUCGAAGCCUUCCUGAGCCCUCCAGACUAUUUUGUGCUUCGAACCUUCUCAAGCCCUCGUGGACGCCCAUCUCCUCCCUGCUCUCCUUGCUGCCACCUCCUGCCGGUCUCCACUGUCCCUUUCUUCCCCAUUGUCAUCAGCGUCGGCCCUCCCCUCCGAUCUCCCUUAGGUGCUUUCCUUCCCAUAGAUCUAUGAAAAAAAGAAAGAAAUGAAGAGAAAAAGAAGAGAAAGGAAACAAAAAAUGAUCAAUCUAUAUGGGAAAAGGUUUUGCCUUUAAAUUUUUCCACCUUUAAUGUAUUUGUAUAGAUUCUCAAUUGGUGGCCCUUCAAUCUGCUCAACUCGAGGUGAAGCGAUCACUGGUGCCAGACCACUUUAGAGUUUGCGCUUCUCUUGGACCCCGAUGGAUCAUCCUCCUAAAGCGGCGGUGGCAGCUGCUCCCACGACCACCAAUGACAACAGUUCAAGUUCAAGUUUAGGUUCGGCAGCCCCUAAGGUGCAGGCCCUGCAUCUCUCCUGCACCAAAUGUUUCGACGCUCUCUGGUUCUGCUACUGUAUGCAUUCAAUCUCUCUAUCUAUCUAUCUAUCUCUCAGUUUCUGCUACAAAAUGCUUGUUUUAGCAUGGCAUAGUCCUAUAUAUUCCGGCCUGAAAAUGGCUUACAAUUUAAUGAGAAAUGCUCAAACUAUAUACACCAAAUUUUGGUUGGCUGAUUUUAACUUGAGCUUAGCUCAAACAUAAAAUGAUUUGCUAAGCUUUGUAGCGAGAGAAAAUGAGAUAAUACAUUAAUUGUUUUUUUAUAUUUCUUGGAUUAGAGGUUGGGUUCAGUUAAACUUUUCCUUAUGUAAUUCUUGAUGAACAUCUCUAAUGCAGAGACAUGCAUACAUGCACAUUCAUAGGUCAUAAUCAGGAAGGCUUAAUGUGUUGACAUAAUAUUUGGUUUAAAGUUUCACCUAAAUUUAAGUUGUGCCAAAUUUCUUAAGCCCAAGCUCAAGCAAACACAAUGCCUUCUGAGGACACAGGCUGGGUUGAGCAUAUCAUGGGAUGACCCAGCCUAAUGUGCAGCCAUAUUGUUCAGUGGCACAAGGUGCAGAUUUCCAAAACAAUGCCUUCAAUUUCUGAAUUUUAUUUGUGAUUUGUAGUUGCACAAGGUUAGUAAUUUAAGCGUGAUUAUUAAUUGGAGAAAAGAGAGGAACCGCCUCAUUGACUGCAUCAAAUCAUGAAAAUAAGGAAACUUCUUUGAUUGAACACCUCAUAUUGAUCUUUGAAGAGCAUGAAAUAAGGAAACUUCACUACUUUGAUUGAACACCUCAUGUUAGUCUUUAAAGAAAGUUAUAUAUAAUUUAUUUAAAUGGAGAUGGACAAUAAAGAAAUAAAUGUGGUACAGAGUGAUGUAAUACCUUGUUCAUGUUUAUGCUGACCCUGAACAGUUUGCACAAGACUUGAGGAUGUGAUGACUACACUGUUGAUACAAUUUUCAUAUAAUGCUGUGUUUUUCACAUGCGUCAAAUAAUUUUUCAUUCUGUAGCCAGGAAUUUCAUGCCAAGUUCUCAUUUUAUGAUGCGAUGCAAAUAUUUCUGGGAUUACUCUUGUUGUCUCAUUAUGUACAAUUCAAUUUCUCUAUAGUUGUAUCAUCUGACUGAUGCUUGUGCGCAUAUGGCAGCUCCAUUUCACCAGAUGCAGCAAUACUAUAGAUAUGGAGAUCUAAGCUCUACUUUAGCAAUUCUUCGAUCUUCUAAUCUUUUCUUAAGAUAUUCAAGUUGAACAGGUUGAAGGAAAUCUUUCUGCUCCUUGAUCAGAACAAGUUGGUGUUGGAGUGUUAGUCUUCUAUAUCUGUGGGGGGCUUUAGCAUAUGAUCCAAAUGCAUGAGCAAUAUAGGCAACCAGAAAAAAGAUUAUUUAUGGUUCAAGUACAUCAAAGAACAAAAACGAGUAUGGUUGCUAGUUUUUCUUCAAUGUAUGAUAAGAUUAAGGGACGUUUCACAUAACUAGAAUAGAAAAUUAUCCAACUCACCGAGAUUGUCUUCAGACUGCCAAUACCUUAGACACUCAGUGGAGUGUUGAUAUAGAAAAUUUAAAUAACUGGCUAGAUUAAUUAGAGACCUAUUUCUAGUAUUCAGAAGGUAGCUUUUGCUUGUCUUAAUUUCUAGCCAUGCUUUUGCAUGGUGGGGACAUGUGAUAUGGAGACUAAAAAGUAAUUUUAUCCAAUCGGCCGUGAGGAAGGGUGGUUUUAGUGGUAGUACCUAUGGCAGAGCAUGAUCAACAUGUCCAAAUUUACACUAUUGAGUUUUACAAGCAAGUAAUCUUUUUUGGAAUCUCCAUCAAUGAUCACAUGGUUUUCAUGCUUACACUACUGAGUGAAGAACAUUGGUUGCAGGAUUGGCAGCCUCAGCCUCUAUUUACCUCC